GCAGUCGACGGGAUAACAUCUGUAGCAAUACAGGUGUUAUUUUAGUGGCGAACGGGUGCGUAACACGUGGGAAAUCUGCCGAGAAGUGGGGGAUAGCUCGCCGAAAGGCGAAUUAAUACCGCAUGUGAUCAGAGAGGACAUCCUCUCGAAAUCAAAGCCGGGGCAACCUGGCGCUUCUUGAUGAUCCCGCGGCCUAUCAGCUAGUUGGUGAGGUAAUGGCUCACCAAGGCUUUGACGGGUAGCUGGUCUGAGAGGACGACCAGCCACACUGGAACUGAGACACGGUCCAGACACCUACGGGUGGCAGCAGUCGAGAAUUUUUCACAAUGGGGGCAACCCUGAUGGAGCGACGCCGCGUGGAGGAUGAAUGCUUUCGGGUUGUAAACUCCUGUCAUUUGGGAACAAGUUGCAUCGAUUAACUGUCGAUGCAUUGAUAGUACCAGAAGAGGAAGGGACGGCUAACUCUGUGCCAGCAGCCGCGGUAAUACAGAGGUCUCAAGCGUUGUUCGGAUUCAUUGGGGCGUAAAGGGUGCGUAGGUGGCGCCGUAAGUCAGAUGUGAAAUUUCGGAGCUUAACUCCGAAACUGCAUUUGAUACUGCGGUGCUUGAGGACUGGAGACGAGACUGGAAAUUCACGGUGUAGCAGUGAAAUGCGUAGAUAUCGUGAGGAAGACCAGUGGCGAACGCGGGUCUCUGGACAGUUCCUGACACUGAGGCACGAACGCCAGGGGAGCAACGGGAUUAGAUACCCCGGGUAGUCCUGCAGUAAACGUGCACGUUUGGUGUGGGAGGAUUCGAC
rnacentral:rRNA from 1 species